AUACAGAGGGCAGCGAUACCGCGAGGUGGAGCGAAUCUCACAAAGUACGUCGUAGUCCGGAUUGGAGUCUGCAACUCGACUCCAUGAAGUCGGAAUCGCUAGUAAUCGCAAAUCAGAAUGUUGCGGUGAAUACGUUCCCGGGCCUUGUACACACCGCCCGUCACACCAUGGGAGUGGGCUGCAAAAGAAGCAGGUAGUUUAACCUUCGGGAGGACGCUUGCCACUUUGUGGUUCAUGACUGGGGUGAAGUCGUAACAAGGUAGCGCUAGGGGAACCUGGCGCUGGAUCACCUCCUUACACGA
rnacentral:rRNA from 1 species